rnacentral:lncRNA from 1 species
AUGGCCGACCAGAGCAGGCAAAUUAAACUCGCCGCAGCCAAGAAAAAGCUGAAGGAGUUUCAGCAGAAGAGUUCUCCUGCCAGUGGAGGAGGGGGUGGAAAUGGAGGAGGAGGACCAGGUGCCAAGAAGAAGAGGAAGGGAGGGAGCCAACCAGACACACCCUCGGCUGGCCUACACUCUCCAGACAAUGCCCACGUUGAUGAGGAGGUGAGAAGGUCCCCUGUCACCCAGCUACUGGAGGACCCAAACGGAGAGGCCGGCCGCAGCUCCCCUGGUUCUAACCCUGCUAGCUCUAUGUCUGCUACUAACCCUGAGUGUGUCAGCCACGCCCACAACACUGACAUGCAGAAGGUGUGUCCCUCCCUCCCACCGUCUUCUAUCUGUCUCCAUCUCUCUCUCUCUUACUGUUGCAAGGUAUACUGAAUCUUCUGUACUUUUUCAAUACUAGAACCUGAAAAACAGUUUGGUCCUAGAAUUUUUACUAUCAGUACUUCUGGCAAAUGUGUUUCACAUCAUCUACUGAUUUUAAUAGAUAAUCAACUCUGUCUAUUAGCACAGCCGUUGUCCCCUUAUCGCGCCAUGCCAGUGCCACUUACUCAUUUCUAGCUUGUCCUGAGGAACUACUGCAUUCACUGGGAGUCUGGGCUGCAUUAUCGCUCGCUGAACAGAAAUGAACACAUUUGAAUAAUGCAACACGACAUGCAUAAAUGUUGAAACUGUUAAUUACUGUUUGCAAAACAAUGUCCAUUACAGGCUAGAACACCUUCCAAUGCAAGAAGAUACCGGUAGCUUUCCUUGCUAGUUUACAGCUGAAGCAAACAUCAACUCACUAUCAUAGUACCUUGAAUGUGAUAAUAUGCAAACCAUAGCACAACAUUUUGCUUAUUUCAAAGCUGAUUAUCACCAAAAACUUUCUUCAUUCACUUUCUCGUCUGACUCAUGUCUCUCCCAGUCAAGAUCAUCUUUGCGCAAGCCUCUUAGUGUGUGAGUGAAUGUCAUGGGUCUUAAAGAGACAGCGCACACUUUAUAAAAGAAGAGCUUGCUUCUUCUGCGCAAAUGUUGUUGAUCUGUAAAGUAAGUCCCAAAUUGUUUUUCAUCUGUAGCCCCAGGAAUUCAGCCAAAACAAGCAAUAACUCAAUGCAUGCACACACUCCAAUUGAAUAUGCAUUCACCUGUAUUGUAAAUAGGCCUAGACUACGUCUUGAUUUACCCAGUUUCUCAAUCGACUAGAUUCACUAUUCAAAUAAGGCCAAUAAUUUAUGUAGUUAAUUUUUUUACAAAGUCAAAUUGAUUGUAUAAUUGAUCCAUUAUGCAUGCAUUCCAAAAUCUUACAUUUCUAAUGUAUUGAUACUGAACUCGAAAGAUCUGUCUGGAUCAAGUGCCAUUCUGUGACUUUGGCUAAUACGCCUUUUUGUCCCUUGGUAUCGUGAUUGUAUCGAGUAUCUUGAUACGAAAUCUGGUAUCGAAGUCAAAAUUCUGGUAUCGUGACCACCUCUCUCUCCACUCAUUAAUGAGUGGUAA